ensembl:snoRNA SNORA70 Small nucleolar RNA SNORA70
CUGCAUUUAAUUAAGCCAACUGUGCUCUUUCCCCUUGGGGCCUCAUGUGCCAUGGCCACAAACAGUGGCCCCCUUGGUAGUGUAUGCAGCCUGUUGUUUGCUGGGGUUGCCCUAAGGGACCUUGGAGACAGCC